rnacentral:rRNA from 1 species
UACGAAGGACCCGAGCGUUAUCCGGAUUUAUUGGGUCUAAAGGGUGCGUAGGCGGACUUAUAAGUCAGUGGUGAAAUCUCCCAGCUUAGCUGGGAAACUGCCAUUGAAACUAUUUGUCUUGAGUACAUUUGAGGCGGGCGGAAUGUGUCAUGUAGAGGUGAAAUUCUUAGAUAUGACACAGAACACCAAUUGCGAAGGCAGCUCGCUAAACUGUAACUGACGCUGAGGCACGAAAGCGUGGGGAGCAAACAGG